UACGUAGGGGGCAAGCGUUGUCCGGAAUCAUUGGGCGUAAAGAGCGUGUAGGCGGCCCGGUAAGUCCGCUGUGAAAGUCCAGGGCUCAACCUCGAGCUGUCGGUGGAAACUGUCUGGCUAGAGUCCGGAAGAGGAGAGUGGAAUUCCUGGUGUAGCGGUGAAAUGCGCAGAUAUCAGGAAGAACACCUAUGGCGAAGGCAGCUCUCUGGGACGGUACUGACGCUGAGACGCGAAAGCGUGGGGAGCGAACAGG
rnacentral:rRNA from 1 species